rnacentral:lncRNA from 10 species
UAUAGUUUCUGGGUUGUGCAUAUUGGUGCAAAAGUAUCUAGAAAGAGAAAAAUAAAUGUUACUCUAAAAGUGGUAGAAAUACAUUGAUAAACCAUGUAUAGAUGAGGCACUAAACCCUUACUCUGUUCAUUAAACUUUGAGCAACUGCAGACAAUAAUAUUUAUUACGUAUUACUAUUAUUUUUUGCAAUUGUUGUAUCAGCAUUGGCAUCAGGAAAAUGACCUGCAUGGUGUGAAUUAGCUUGAAGAAAACAAAACCCCCAAACACCAAAAAGUUAAUGCAGGCUGGAACCUGCUGGAAUUACCUAAGGAGAACAAGAUCAGGACCAGGGGAGUAAUAUGACUCAAGUCAUUCAUGACCAAAAGCUUCAUAAUCUCUAGUGGGUACUUACUACAUCCCAGGUACUGUGCCAAGUGCUUUAGAUAUAUUAUUUCAUUUAAUCUUCCCUGCAACCUUUUAGGCACUAUUGCUGGCAGUCCCAUUUUGUAGUUGAAUAAUUUUUUCAAGGCUAGGAAUGGUAGAGCUGGGGUGGAAAUCCAGGCAUUCUGAAUCCAGGGUCCAUUUUAUAACAGUUGCUACAUAUUUCAUAUCAUUCCAUUAUAGAACAGAACUUUACAUUAUUUUUUUAAAAAACAUUCUGUAGUUAUAGUCUUGUGCGAUGGUUUGAAUAUUUGUCCCUUCCAAAACACAUGCUGAAACUUAAUCCCCAAUGUGGCAGUAUGGAAAAGCGGGGUGUUUAAGAGACUCGGAGUUCAUGAAAAAAUUAGUCUAUUCAUUAAUUUAAGUAUUAAUGGAUUAAUGAAAUAAUGGAUUAAUGAGUUAUUAUGGGAGUGGGACUGGUGGCUUUAUAAGAAGAGAAAGAGAGACCUGAGAUAGCACACUCAGCCUCCUCACCAUGUGAUACCUUGCACCACCUUGGAACUGCAGAGUCUCCACCAUCAAGAAGGCCCUACAAGAAGUGACCUCUCAACCUUUGACUUCUCAGCCUCCAUAACUCUCAACAAUUUCCUUUAUGUAAUUAAAGAAAAUCUUUUAGUCUGAAAGAAAGUGGCACCAGAGAGUAACCACCAGAGAAAUCCACCAGGGAAAUGAGAAGUGAAUGUUGAUUUCUCAAUAACCUAUAACUAGAGAUUGCAUUUUGAUGAGGACCUGGAUGAUGGCUGUAUAAAUCCAUAUUCAUGCUGCUAUAAAGAACUACCUGAGACUGGAUAAUUUAUGAAGAAAAGAGGUUUAAUUGACUCACAGUUCUGAAGGCUUAACAGGAAGCAUGACUGGGAGGCCUCAGGAAACUUACAAUCGUGGUAGAAGGCGAAGAGGAAGCAAGCACGUCUUACCAUGGCAGAGGAGAAGAGAGAGAAAGAGAAGGGGGAGGUGCCACACAGUUUCAAAUGGUGAGAUCUUGUGAGAACUCACUCACUAUUAUGAGAACAGCAAGGGGAAAAUCUGUUACCAUGAUCCAGUCACCUUCCACCACGCCCCUCCUCCAAUUCUACAGGAGAUUUGUGUGGGGACACAAAUCCAAACCAUAUCAAUGGCAAUGGGAUUACUGGCUGACAGUGGAUUUCUGGUGGACAGGGAUAAAUUUGUCACCUUGUUGCAUGACUUGAAUUUAACCUGGAUUCUCACCUAAUGGAAGGCCUUUUGGUGAAACGCCAUUUUAGCUUUACAAAGAGGUAUAGGUGGUAGGAAUAGCAGAAAUCGUGGUAUAUUCAUCUGCAAAAGUUUUUAUGAAUUUUCCCAAAUAAUGUUUUAUAGAACACUGUAAGUGGUAUAUAUUCCAUUUUCCAGUAGCAUUUGGGAUAUCUAAACAUGGGACAAAUGCAUAGUUAUAUUAAGAAAUUUAAGCAGCAGAAAAUAUGGGUCAAGGCCAGGCAUGGUGGCUCACACCUGUAAUCCCAGCACUUUGGGAGGCUCAGGAGGACGGAUCACCUGAGGUCAAGAGUUCAAGACCAGCCUGGCUAACAAGGGAAACCCUGUCUCUACUGAAAACAUACAAAAAUUAACCGGGCCUGGUGGCACGUGCCUGUAAUCCCAGCUACUUGGGAGGGGGAAGCAUGAGAAUCACUUGAUCCUGGGAGGCAGAGGUUGUAGGAAGCCGAGACUGCACCACUGCACUCCAGUCUGGGCAAUAAAGCAAGACUCUG